GACGAACGCUGGCGGCGUGCUUAACACAUGCAAGUCGAACGGUGAAUGCAGAGCUUGCUCUUCUGGAUCAGUUGCGACCUGGUGAGUAACCCUUGAGUAACCUGCCCCAGCCUCUGGAAUAAGCUCUGGAAACGUCGUCUAAUCCCGGCUACGAGUCAUCGCUUCUUGGUUACUGUCUGGUAAGUUUUUCGGUCUGUGAUGGACUCGCGGCCUAUCAGCUUGUUGGUGAGGUAACGGCUCACCAAGGCAACGACCGGUAGCCGGGCUGAGAGGGCGACCGGACAAACUGGGACUGAGACAAGGCCCAGACUCCUACGGGAGGGAGCAGUGGGGAAUAGUGCACAAUGGGCGAAAGGAUGAUGCAGCGAAGCAGCGUGAGGGAUGAGGGCAUUCGGGUUGGAAACCUAUUUCAGCAGGGAAGAAGCGAAAGUGACGGUACCUGCAGAAGAAGCACCGGCUAACUACGUG
rnacentral:rRNA from 1 species